UACAGAUGAUACAUGAGAAUUCAAUGAGUUAGGAACAGGUACUGCAUAAUAAAACUUCACAUAAGCAUUUUGGUACAUGAAACACAAGUCAUACAUAUAAUUUACUCAAAUAAAAUUCAAUGUAUAUUGAUGUUCUCCUUUGGGUGACACACCAACACACAACAUACAAACAUGAUGAUGCUAAUAAAAUUUUAACAUUAUUUGACAAUAAAAUAUGAACCAAUUAGUAGUAUCUAUUUCCUUUGGGUAUAUAAAUAAAACUAAUGAUACACACAAAUCACCUACAAUAAUAUUCAUUAAUUAUAAGAACAACUAAUCAAUCUUUGGGCGAUCCAUAAAUGCCUUAUAACAAUGAAUUUUAAUUACCCAUAAUCCAACAAUCAUAUAAUUUAACAUCCAUUAUUCUAUGAGUAAUUGAAAUAAUCAUUAAUUUGGAAUUAAAUAACCUUACAAAUUUGGCCACUUUGGUGACUAACAAAUUUAACAUACAUUUAAUUCCAACCAAAUAUAUAUGGCCUGCACAUACUUAUUGCUAUUAACAAUUCAUAGCCAUUCCAUUAAUUCCAUUCUAGGCCAUAAAAUAAUUUUCACAUUUAUUUGUAUUUUGCAUUCAAACACAUUCAAAGGAAUAUGUAACAUAUACAUACUUACUGUUACCAAUAAUUUCAAAACAUUCACAUUAAUUAUAAGACAUAAACUUUCAAUCCUUCAAUAAUGUUCAACAAUAACAUUCGAAAGAAAAAGAAGGCAGGUGGGAUUGCAAAUAACAAACAAAGAUUGCAAAUAGCAAUUUUCAUAAUAUUCAUUCAUCCUGCAAGAUAUUUGGUACGCGUACGUUUUCCUUUUUGAAAGCAUUAUAAUUAAAAGCAAUCAUACGUACGCUGCGCAACUUCUAAAAAAAUAUAGAAAUUAAAGAUAACCUAUUGUUACAGCCACGCAGCUUUUCAAAAUAAAACAACUCGUGAUGGCGGAAAUAUUUUUUUUUUUUGCUUUUCAUUCCCUUUCUCCAAAAUGUAAUUUCCAAAAAUUCUAUAGCUUUCAUGGCUUUCCUUCUCAUGAAAUUUUAUAUAUCUAGAAUUUCAUACUUUGCAGCGGAAAAUAUAAUUAACACGAAAGGCACGCUAUCAAAACAUGUAAUUGAAAAUACAUGUAACAUAAAUUAAAAAUCCCUAAAUUUCAUAAUUAGGGUUUAUGCAUAAUUGGGAGAAAUUAAGUCAUUCUUGGAGAAUCAUAAAUUUCAUAACACAGGCUCUGAUACCACAUGUAAAAAAUUCUUAAGGGUUUCCUAGACUAUCAAUUAUAGAAAACCAAUAGGAUCUUGAAAUUUAUGGUUCUCACAAACAAUCAAUAAAGAAUAAUAGAUAAUGAUGUGUACCUUUCUCCAUAGGAACUUCUCUCUGGUGCACUUUGAUUUCCUUGAAAAUGAGAGAAAUAGGAUUUCACUUCCUUUGGCCUUUCUUUUCUGUCUCUCUCCGUUCGUGAUGGCUAUGGGUGAGAAAAGAGCACUUUCUGGUCAUGAAGGGGACCUUAUUUCACGUUAGUGGGUAUUAAGCCCCUUUUAUAACCACUACUCCCAUCAAGUAGCAGUUAACCUAGAAACUUCUCCUAUUAAGCCCAAUUACAAUUUAGCCCUUAAUCGUUAAUUAUUUAUUUAUUAGUCCCUACUAAGUUAUAUGCCUCUUACAUGAGACAUU
rnacentral:lncRNA from 1 species